GAUGAACGCUGGCGGCGUGCCUAAUACAUGCAAGUCGAGCGAACAGAUGAGAAGCUUGCUUCUCUGAUGUUAGCGGCGGACGGGUGAGUAACUCGUGGGUAACCUACCUAUAAGACUGGGAUAACUCCGGGAAACCGGGGCUAAUACCGGAUAAUAUUUUGAACCGCAUGGUUCGAUAGUGAAAGACGGUUUCGGCUGUCACUUAUAGAUGGACCCGCGCCGUAUUAGCUAGUUGGUAAGGUAACGGCUUACCAAGGCGACGAUACGUAGCCGACCUGAGAGGGUGAUCGGCCACACUGGAACUGAGCCACGGUCCAGACUCCUACGGGAGGCAGCAGUAGGGAAUCUUCCGCAAUGGGCGAAAGCCUGACGGAGCAACGCCGCGUGAGUGAUGAAGGUCUUCGGAUCGUAAAACUCUGUUGUUAGGGAAGAACAAAUUUGUUAGUAACUGAACAAGUCUUGACGGUACCUAACCAGAAAGCCACGGCUAACUACGUGCCAGCAGCCGCGGUAA
rnacentral:rRNA from 1 species